UGGGGGAAUCUUCCGCAAUGGGCGCAAGCCUGACGGAGCAACGCCGCGUGAGUGAAGAAGGGUUUCGAUUCGUAAAGCUCUGUUGUCGGGGACGAAUGUGGAGAUGGUGAAUAACCAUUUCUAAUGACGGUACCUGACGAGGAAGCCACGGCUAACUACGUGCCAGCAGCCGCGGUAAUACGUAAGUGGCGAGCGUUGUCCGGAAUUAUUGGGCGUAAAGGGAGCGCAGGCGGGAAGGUAAGUCUAUCUUAAAAGUGCGGGGCUUAACCCCGUGAGGGGACCGAAACUGCGAUGCUAGAGUAUCGGAGAGGAAAGCGGAAUUCCUAGUGUAGCGGCGAAAUGCGUAGAUAUUAGGAGGGACACCAGUGGCGAAAGCGGCUU
rnacentral:rRNA from 1 species